GUGCUUUCUCCGUUAGCCACUCUCUCGACGGAGCCGGUGCUCACGGCUAUGUUCUAAGGAUCACACAGAAAACAAACACACUGUUGUGCCCAGCAGAGGACACCUGGCUGCCUAAGAGACACACGGAACGAAGGAAUUGCAAAGAAGAUCAGCUUUUGCUGUCUCUGGAGUAGAGGGCAAUAUUCCGCUCCUACCGGGCAUCCGCAGAGAAAGGAGGCCUAUCAAAACAACACUCGCAUGUGAGCAGGCAGGAAUAGCUCUACACACUGUUUGCAGAGGACCACAUCAUGUUUCACACAGCAGAAGCAAUGUACAGUUUCCUUAUAAACAGUGAGUAGCACAGCACCUGCUCUUCGUUGGAGAUGAGAGAGACAGCAGGAGAAUUGGAAGGACUGGGACAUCAGAAGUGCUAAAGGACAAAGGCAUUUUUAUUCUAAGGUUACACACUGGAAUUAGCGGGAUCUGUUUGUACAUUAUCCGCUUGUCAGGAGACAUAAUGGGACAGAUCCCUGUGCAAAGCUUGACUGAUGCUGAAACAUGGAGUGGUCAAGACUCUACUCAUCUUUGAUUCAUUGCCUGUAUAAAAACACUGGCAUACAGAAAGGCUCCUUAACAUCCAGCUGUGAAAUAAAAGGCCACUGGAGGACCUUGUGAGGCCAGAAGAAACAAUUGGAGUCCUAGAGAAAAUAGGAAUGAGGCAAACAGCUUAGCACAUAGACCACUGAGGCAAGAACGGAGGUAUGAGCUGGGCGUGCUGGCUGCACCUAUGGAGGGUGAAGGGGAACACCACGGACACUAAGUAUUGUGAGGCAGCUAAAAGAAAGACGUUGCAAUUCUUAACAUUCUAGCAGCAUCACCAUCCCAACUCUGCCAGUGUCUGGUGUGGAUUGAAGAUCUGAGCCCCAGAUCUUUGGCGAUUUAGGUGUCAUUUUUUUUCGGACCUAGCUUUCAGCCCUGUGUUUUCAGAGAUACUGAGAAGAUUAAGGAAGCAGCCAGUAAGUAAAUAAAGACUUCCUCAAAUAUCUUCCCUGUAUUUUGGGUUUCAGUCCUUACCUCACAGAACCCCCUAUAAGAUGGUUUGGUUUGGUUUUGU